AGGGGGAGGCAGUAUAGGGAGUCAUGCGAGUCGAUCAGCGGUAGUCGGUUAAAUUCUCGCGCAUGCCACGCGUUUAACGGUGUUGUAAAUUUUCACAAGUGGUCAUGUCCGUGACAUUUUUGCCCGCGCUUUCAUAGUCACAGGUUUGUAAAUCAAACAACGCUAUGUAUUUAAAUACAUGUAUAUUAAAAUAAUAGCCGAAUUAGUUAUAAAAAAAUCGAUACAUUAAAAUUAUUUGAUGAAAAUUGACAGCAGAUUUAUUGCAUUUUACCCUGCUAUAUGGUGUUUAUUGGUCUAUGUUUAAUUAAAAGCUUAUAAUUAAAAAUUAAUAUUCUCCGGCUAUUUCAUCAAUUCGUGCAAGAUAUUUAACAAUGGAAAUAUUAAUGCACGAGAUGAGUAAUGGCCAGGAGACAAACACAGUUGAUACGAAGAUUUACACCAUAAAUAAACAAUCAACAAAAAAAAUAGAAAAUGCACAAAUCAAAGAUGAAAAACGUUUCAUGAAAACCGACCCGGCGGAUACCGUUGAUAUUGUCUUCGAAAACAUCACAUAUACGGUGUCACUCGGUUGCAGGAAAGGUCAAAAGGAGAUAUUACACGGAAUCAAUGGAAGACUUCCAGCAAAACAUUUAAUCGCCUUAAUGGGUCCGUCCGGAGCGGGAAAGUCGACCUUACUGAAUAUCCUAUCGGGGUUCAGGACGACUGGUGUUGAUGGAAAUAUCAACAUCAACGGUCACGCUCGAGAAAUAAAUUCUUUUCGAAAAUGUAGCGCAUAUAUCACGCAAGAUGACCGUUUGGAAGCUCUGUUGACGGUCAACGAGAACAUGACAGUCGCAGCUGACCUCAAGCUGCCCACGAGCACCCCCAGAUACGAAAAGGAAGCGAUAAUUGAAGAAAUUCUCACUACCUUAGGCUUACGCGAGCACAUGAACACUCAAACUGGUAGAUUAAGUGGAGGACAAAAAAAAAGACUGUCUAUUGCUUUGGAGUUAGUUAAUAAUCCGACUGUUAUGUUCCUUGAUGAACCGACAACAGGUUUGGAUAGUUUAUCAUGCACACAAGUAAUAAAUUUAUUAAAAUUACUUGCACGGCAAGGAAGAACAAUUAUCUGCACAAUUCAUCAGCCUAGCGCAACGAUUUUUCAAUUGUUUGAUCUGGUUUAUAUAUUAUCAAAAGGAGAAUGUCUAUUUCAUGGUUCAACCGAUCAUUUAGUUUCCUAUUUAGAAAACAUCAAAUUGCCAUGUCCUGUGUAUUAUAAUCCAGCUGAUUAUGUAAUUGAAUUGGCUUGCGGUGAAUAUGGAAAAGAUAAAAUAUCGUUAUUAGUAUCAGCUGCAGAAAAUGGCAAGAAUUUACAAUGGUUCAAAAAUUCUAAUACUUUAUUAGAACCGAAUGGUCUAAAAACAUUGCAUUCAUAUAAGAAUUUGAAUAUAAGUAAUAAAAAUAGUCUUCAAGCAACUCCUGUAAUACAUCAAAUCAAAAUUUUAAUGAAAAGAGGUUUUUUGAUGUGUAAAAGAGAUACUACAUUAACACAUUUACGAAUCUUAGCCAAUAUAGCCGUCGGUUUAAUGCUUGGCCUGGUAUUUCUCGAAUCGGGUACAGACGGUGCCAGAGUGUUAAGUAAUUAUAAUCUUUUGUUCUCCAUUCUCAUACAUCAUAUGAUGACCACAAUGAUGCUUACUGUAGUUACUUUUCCCAUGCAAAUGAGCAUUUUAUUAAAGGAACAUUUCAAUAGAUGGUACAGUUUAAAAGCAUUUUACACGGCUUUAUCGUUGGUCGACUUACCACUUUCGAUAUUUUGCUGCUUAAUUUUUACUUUGAUUGUAUAUUUUAUCACAUCUCAGCCAUUAGAAAUGUCACGAUUUCUAAUGUUUUUUUCAAUUAGUUUACUGGUAGUUUUAAUAUCUCAGGGAUUUGGUCUUAUGAUUGGAGCAAUAUGUAAUGUAAUUCAAAUAUUUGUUAAAUUUUAGAAUGGAACUUUCGCAGGACCAACUUUAUCUGUGCCAAUGAUGAUGUUUGCAGGUUUUGGUGUAUCAUUACGUGAUAUACCAAUUUAUCUUAAAUGGGGUACAUAUAUCAGUUUCUUGCGAUAUAGUUUAGAAGGAUAUAUCAAUGCCAUAUAUGGACUUGAUCGACCAGUGUUACCCUGUAAAGAAAAAGUUAUAUAUUGUCAUUAUAAAUAUC
rnacentral:misc_RNA from 1 species